GUGUCAGCAGCCGCGGUAAUACGUAGGGUGCAAGCGUUAAUCGGAAUUACUGGGCGUAAAGCGUGCGCAGGCGGUUCUAUAAGACAGAUGUGAAAUCCCCGGGCUCAACCUGGGAACUGCAUUUGUGACUGUAGAGCUGGAGUGCGGCAGAGGGGGAUGGAAUUCCGCGUGUAGCAGUGAAAUGCGUAGAUAUGCGGAGGAACACCGAUGGCGAAGGCAAUCCCCUGGGCCUGCACUGACGCUCAUGCACGAAAGCGUGGGGAGCAAACAGGAUUAGAUACCCUGGUAGUCC
rnacentral:rRNA from 1 species